UACGUAGGGGGCGAGCGUUGUCCGGAAUUACUGGGCGUAAAGGGCGUCUAGGUGGCACGAUGCGUCGGGAGUGAAAUGCACGGGCUCAACCCGUGAGGUGCUCCUGAAACGGUCGAGCUGGAGGGCCGGAGAGGGAAGCGGAAUUGCCGGUGUAGCGGUGAAAUGCGUAGAUAUCGGCAGGAACACCAGUGGCGAAGGCGGCUUCCUGGACGGUACCUGACACUGAAGCGCGAAAGCGUGGGGAGCGAACGGG
rnacentral:rRNA from 1 species